CAAUGCAAUUUGUUUGUGUUUAGUUAGGUGGCUAAAGAUAAACUAAUUUGCUAUACUCAUGUUUGGUACGAUGCACACUAUAAUAAAAAUGACCCUAUAUUUCUACCGCCCAUCAUCUCCCCCCUUCUCUCCUCUCCCGCAAUCCGUGUCGCUCGCCGCCGUUGGCUCCGAUUUGCACCGCUGCAGCACCAGCAGCCAUGCGCGAUGAGCACCGCAUGCUCUCGUCCUCCUCCUCGAACUCGUCGUCGUCCACGGCAGGUGGGAGGUGAGGAACGAGGCAGGUUGACCACGGCAGCGAAUAAGCACCAUACGAGGCGGCAAGCAGCUUCCUUUCCUCCGGCGAUGGCGACGCAGGAUCCGAAAGAUGCUGCUCCGACAGAGGAGGCCCCCGUCGCGGCCGGGCCGGCGGCGCCAACGGCGAGGGUGAAGGUGCUCUUCUUCGCCCGCGCGCGGGACCGGACGGGCGUGUCGUAGUCGUUGGUGGAGGUGCCGGCGGGAGGCACCGCGGGGGAGUGCCUCGCCUGGACCGCGGCGGCAACCACCCGGUGGGGUGAGAAAAGAAAGCACGGAGGCAAAGGAGAGGUGAAGCGACUCACCCAAAAAACCACCGACAGCUUAAGGGUGUGUUUGGUUUUGGAACGACGUGGGUCGGGUCGGAGCCGACCCACUUUUGUGGGUUGGAGCCAACCCAGCUCGUGUUUGGAUGAGUGGGUUGGAGCCGACCCAGUUUUUUGUUUGGUUGAAAAAGUUGAGAGGGU